UAGUCUGCUAUUACAAUUGUGUCAGAAUGAUCGAUCAUUGAGAAGUGCAAGAGGGACGGAGCUAUGUAGGUUGUAUAGCUUCUUCUCUCUUGCACUGCUCAAUGGUCGACUAUUCUGACACAAUUUUAAUAGUAGACUA
rnacentral:pre_miRNA from 1 species